rnacentral:rRNA from 1 species
UACGAAGGGGGCUAGCGUUGUUCGGAAUUACUGGGCGUAAAGCGCGCGCAGGCGGCUAUCCAAGUCAGUGGUGAAAGCCCGGAGCUCAACUCCGGAACUGCCAUUGAAACUGUUUAGCUUGAGGACGAGAGAGGUGAGUGGAAUUCCCAGUGUAGAGGUGAAAUGCGCAGAUAUCAGGAGGAACACCGGUGGCGAAGGCGGAUCUCUGGGCCGUAACUGACGCUGAGGAGCGAAAGCAUGGGGAGCGAACAGG